rnacentral:rRNA from 1 species
GACAGAGGGGGCUAGCGUUGCUCGGAAUCACUGGGCGUAAAGCGCACGUAGGCGGCUUUCUAAGUCAGGGGUGAAAUCCUGGAGCUCAACUCCAGAACUGCCUUUGAUACUGAGGAUCUCGAGUCCGGGAGAGGUGAGUGGAACUGCGAGUGUAGAGGUGAAAUUCGUAGAUAUUCGCAAGAACACCAGUGGCGAAGGCGGCCCACUGGCCCGGUACUGACGCUGAGGUGCGAAAGCGUGGGGAGCAAACAGG